GCCUGGAUAGUUCAGUGGCAGAACACGUCAUUGGUAAUGACGGAACGCGAGUUCAAUUCUCGCUCUAGGCU
rnacentral:tRNA from 1 species